CUUGGGGGUGGCGAGCAAACCGUUACCAUUACUGAGUUUAGUAAUGGUAACGGUUCUCUUGCUGCACCCAGA
rnacentral:pre_miRNA from 1 species